GAGACUGUCAGAAUUACAUGGGGGGAGGUUGGGAGAGAGAGAGGCGAAGAGGGCAGGAUUAGAGUAAAUUUGCUUUGGCUCUGUGACACACCAACCCCACAGACAGACGACAACAAUAGAUAGAAGGAGCUUGUAGUUUUGGAGCUCAGAGCUUCAGGCUGAAAACAUUGGAUAUUCUUCACUGGGGGUGUACAAGGAGAUUCAUCAAAAACCUGACAUUCCCAUUCCACCAUGGUCUGGCCAGUGUCGGGUCAAUUGGCAUGCUGCGGUGCUGAUUGGAUUAACUAAAUGACAAGGGCUUUUCAGCUGGCGUGAGAGGCAGCGCGAACGUCACCACACCUCACACCAUUGUGUAAAAUCCCUCGAAAGAAUGUUUUCCACCUUGAACCCAGCUAGCACUUCUGUCAUUCCAUCUUAUUCAGGAUCCGUUCCCUUGGAUCACCACGUACUACAGAAAACCUCUCAGGGAUCCAACGCCCAGCCGUGCACACAGGUCCACCAACACCAACACACACAUCAGCACACACACCAGUCCACCUCCGCUCCUCUGUUUCACCCUCCAUCUGUCAUCCUGCCUACUCCUCCUCCGUCAAUGCUGGGAA